rnacentral:rRNA from 1 species
UACAUGCAAGUAGAACGCUGAAGGAGGAGCUUGCUUCUCUGGAUGAGUUGCGAACGGGUGAGUAACGCGUAGGUAACCUGCCUGGUAGCGGGGGAUAACUAUUGGAAACGAUAGCUAAUACCGCAUAAGAGUAGAUGUUGCAUGACAUUUGCUUAAAAGGUGCAAUUGCAUCACUACCAGAUGGACCUGCGUUGUAUUAGCUAGUUGGUGAGGUAACGGCUCACCAAGGCAACGAUACAUAGCCGACCUGAGAGGGUGAUCGGCCACACUGGGACUGAGACACGGCCCAGACUCCUACGGGAGGCAGCAGUAGGGAAUCUUCGGCAAUGGACGGAAGUCUGACCGAGCAACGCCGCGUGAGUGAAGAAGGUUUUCGGAUCGUAAAGC